GUUUAAUCUUCUCUGCUCUCAGCUGAUGCACCGUGGCGUGACCUUGUGUUGUUACAUGCACACGAGCAUUUUCUGAAGUACUCCAGUGUUACAGCCCAGUGCUGCACUUCUGCAGAUGGCCCUUGUGUUUCUUACUGUCCCCACCAGUGCAUUAUCUCUACCUUUUGCUGGGCUUUUCCUAGGCUGGAACAUGUGUGGCAGCAAGUAACACUGACCAUGACGAUGUGUGGUUGCAUGGCCCUAAACCAACCAUGCUUUGAACACCCAUCAGCUCUUGCCACAAGACGUUGACGUUUGCUGGAUGUGAACGUGUUGCUUAGUCAUAUGGAAAGCCAUCGGGACCUAUUGGCACGUUGACAUUUUGCUGCUGCGAAGACUCGUAAUUUAAUGCAUUCUAUCAUCUAUUCUGGAGCCAACUACAAGAGGAGAGUGGGUGACUUGAGCAAUUGGAGCAGGGUGGAAGUCUGCGAGGGUGUUUUGUACCCAGCAAGAUCUGCAGCAGAGCUGAGGAAGGGAAACCCUUCACCUGAGCCCUCUCCCUGCUGUCGGGGCACAUCUGGGCUCAGCUCCACCAGUAGCUGGCGGGAAGGUGACGUGGAUACCUGCUUGGAGUUGCUCCCAAGAGGCCUUUUGCUGGGACAGAAAGAGGAAUAAUAACUGCAGGCAAAGCUACCACCCAAUUGGUUGGCCCUGUAGUAUGACAGCAACCUACUGCUGAUUGAAGCAGAUGUUUAAAGGAGGAAACGAUGAGUUCAGUUCCUACUUAAGCCCAAU
rnacentral:lncRNA from 1 species